UACGUAGGGGGCAAGCGUUGUCCGGAUUUAUUGGGCGUAAAGAGCUCGUAGGCGGCUUAGCAAGUCGGGUGUGAAAACUCCAGGCUCAACCUGGAGACGCCACUCGAGACUGCUAUGGCUAGAGUCCGGUAGGGGACCACGGAAUUCCUGGUGUAGCGGUGAAAUGCGCAGAUAUCAGGAGGAACACCGGUGGCGAAGGCGGUGGUCUGGGCCGGCACUGACGCUGAGGAGCGAAAGCGUGGGGAGCGAACAGG
rnacentral:rRNA from 1 species